GCUUGAGUGAGGAUCUCAGUCUGCGGCUAGUCUAAAAUGCAUAUUCUUGGGCCCUGCCAGGUGGGUGCGAGCAGGGGCCUCGUCAGGCCCAGAAGCUUCAGGAGGCAUGUCUGCGUUCCCUAGGACAGGACCGAGGGAAGGCUGUGAAGACGGGCACCUGAGGCACAGAGAGAUUCCCCUCUGUCACAUCAGUUCUACUGCAGUGGCAGGAGAGGACCUCAAGGCCCUGGUGGCUGGGGCUGGGGCUCUGACCAGAGCCACUGGGAAGGAAGAGACUGGGGUCAAAGAGAUGUGAGCAAAACGUGGAACUUUGUUCAAUA